UCUACAUUUGUUUUAAUCUCAUGCUGGUUGCUGACCGAAAUAAAGAGAUGUUGAUAUGAAAAAUAAACAUAAUGGAGUAACAAUGCCUCGCAAAAUGCCUUGGAGAACAAUUGGAUUUAUACACUUGCUUGUUAGCAAGGAGGAAAAGGCAAACAGGGAUCUUUGAUCACUCCAGUGCCUGUUCAGAGUAGCCUGUAGGAGUGAUCUAGUGGCAGCAGUAACCUACCAGAACUUCUGGGUUUACCAGAAUCUUUUUCUUGGUUUUCUGGGUUUUGAAAGAUCAUCAGAUCAAAAUGCUGUGUGAGUCCGAUCCGUCCUAUAGACCUCCAGUUCACUAUCUGCAUUAUGAAUGGGUAAAACUGAUGUAAGCCAGUGCCAACAACAACAGAGACAACAACAACAGUGCCAACAACAACAACAGAGAAGGAAACAAUCAACACUCCACGUUGUUUCUCACAUUAGAAUAUCUUGCUAGACAGUAUUUCAGAUCUUACACUAGUUUCUUUAGUUUCUGUUUGUAAUAACUCUGCUUUCCUUCUUCUCUAAGUUAGCAAACAAGCAAUGGUUCUAUCGGUGUCUUAAAAAAUGUGUGUUUGAAGUAAAUUGGGACAAAUUG